rnacentral:rRNA from 1 species
GACCUACGGGACGCAGCAGUCGGGAAUAUUGCGCAAUGGAGGAAACUCUGACGCAGUGACGCCGCGUGCAGGAAGAAGGUUUUCGGAUUGUAAACUUCUUUAGACAGGGAAGAAAAAAGACAGUACCUGUAGAAUAAGCUCCGGCUAACUACGUGCCAGCAGCCGCGGUAAUACGUAGGUGGCGAGCGUUAUCCGGAUUUAUUGGGUGUAAAGGGCGUGUAGGCGGGAAUGCAAGUCAGAUGUGAAAACUAUGGGCUCAACCCAUAGCCUGCAUUUGAAAC